rnacentral:lncRNA from 1 species
AUGCUUGUUGUGCAUCAUGUCUUGUCUAUGUGUGGUGUGUUUACUAUGUUGUGUGCUUCUUCUCGAUAGUUCCCGUUUCGUUGCGAUCGUGAGGAUGCGUUCGUCUACGUGUGGUUCAUCUUCGUGGCUUCAUCUUCUUCAUGGACCCGUUCUUCUUCCUUGCGGGAUUUCAGGCAAGAUGACCGCUACCCUGGAUCUCACUACUAUCAUUGCUAUGCUAGUUGCUUCGUUCUAUCGCUAUGCUGCGCUACCUAUUACCUGUUUAUCAAGCCAUCCCAUAUUGCCAUGAACCCCUAACCUUUGACACUUUUCCUAUGCAAACCGUUGCUUGGCUAUGUUACCGCUUUGCUCAGCCCCUCUUAUAGCGUUGCUAGUUGUAGGUGAAGUUGAAGAUUUCCCCAUGGUGGACAGGAUUUUGGUUGGGAUAUCACAAUAUCUCUUAUAUUAUUAAUGCAUCUAUAUACUUGGUAAAGGGUGGAAGGCUCGGCCUUAUGCCUGGUGUUUUGUUCCACUCUUGCUGCCCUAGUUUCCGUCACACUGGUGUUAUGUUCCCGGAUUUUGCGUUCCUAACGCGGUCGGGUGAUUUAUGGGACCCCCCUGACAGUUCGCUUUGAAUAAAACUUGUCCAGCAAGGCCCAACCUUGGUUUUACCAUUUGCCUCACCACCACCUAUCCCUUUCCCUUGGGUCGGCCAACCUGAGGGUCAUCUUUAUUUUAGCCCCCCCGGGCCAGUGCUUGUCUAAGUGCUGGUCCGAACCGAGCGAUGUUCGGCGCCCCCUGGGCAACCAGGGUCUAUGCCAACCCGACGUCUUGCUCAUCCGGUGUGCCCUGAGAACGAGAUAUGUGCAGCUCCUAUCGGGAUUUGUCGGCACAGCGGGAGGCUUUGCUGGUCUUGCUGUACCAUUGUCGAAAUGUCUUGUAAACCGGGAUUCCGAGACUGAUCGGGUCUUCCUGGGAGAAGGUCUAUUCCUUCGUUGAUCGCGAGAGCUUGUCAUGGGCUAAGUUGGGACACCCCUGCAGGGUUUAAACUUUCGAGAGCCGUGCCCGCGGUUAUGUGGCAGAUGGGAAUUUUUUAAUGUCCGGUUGUAGAUAACUUGACACCAGAUCCGAAUUAAAACGCAUCAACCGUGUGUGUAGACGUGAUGGUCUCUUCUCGGCGGAGUCCGGGAAGUGAACACGGUUUCUGGGUUAUGUUUGACGUAAGUAGGUGUUCAGGAUCACCUCUUGCUCAUUGCUAGCUUCACGACCGUUCCGCUUGUUCUCUUCUCGCUCUUAUUUGCGUAUGUUAGCCACCAUAUCAUGCUUAGUCGCUGCUGCAACCUCACCACUUUACCCCUUCCUUUCCCAUUAAGCUUUGCUAGUCUUUAUACCCAUGGUAAUGGGAUUGCUGAGUCCUCGUGGCUCACAGAUUACUACAACAACAGUUGCAGGUACAGGUUAUGCGAUGAUCCUGAUGCGAGAGCGAUGCUUGCUUGCGUUGAGUUCUUCUUCUGCUUCUUCGAUCAGGGGAUAGGUUCCAGGUCGGCAGCCUGGGCUAGCA